rnacentral:rRNA from 1 species
CUACGGGGUGCAGCAGUGGGGAAUAUUGGACAAUGGGGGAAACCCUGAUCCAGCAAUGCCGCGUGUGUGAAGAAGGCCUGCGGGUUGUAAAGCACUUUCGGUUGGGAGGACUGCUUCUAGCACUAAUAUUGUUGGAAGUUGACGUUACCUUCAGAAGAAGCACCGGCUAACUCCGUGCCAGCAGCCGCGGUAAUAGGGAGGGUGCAAGCGUUAAUCGGAAUUACUGGGCGUAAAGCGCGCGUAGGCGGCUAGAUCAGUCGGGUGUGAAAGCCCCGGGCUUAACCUGGGAACUGCAUCCGAUACUGUCUAGCUUGAGUACAGGAGAGGAGAGUGGAAUUCCACAUGUAGCGGUGAAAUGCGUAGAUAUGUGGAGGAACACCAAUGGCAAAGGCAGCUCUCUGGCCUGAUACUGACGCUGAGGUGCGAAAGCGUGGGGAGCAAACAGGAUUAGAUACCCCGGUAGUC